AUUGAACGCUGGCGGCAGGCCUAACACAUGCAAGUCGAGCGAGCGGCGGACGGGUGAGUAAUGUCUGGGAAACUGCCUGAUGGAGGGGGAUAACUACUGGAAACGGUAGCUAAUACCGCAUACCAUCAGAUGUGCCCAGAUGGGAUUCGCUAGUGGGUGGGGUAAUGGCUCACCAAGGCGACGAUCCCUCGCUGGUCUGAGAGGAUGACCAGCCACACUGGAACUGAGACACGGUCCAGACUCCUACGGGAGGCAGCAGUGGGGAAUAGUGCACAAUGGGCGCAAGCCUGAUGCAGCCAUGCCGCGUGUAUGAAGAAGGCCUUCGGGUUGUAAAGUACUUUCAGCGGGGAGGCGUUACUCGCAGAAGAAGCACCGGCUAACUCCGUGCCAGCAGCCGCGGUAAUUC
rnacentral:rRNA from 1 species